GCCCCCAUCGUCUAGUGGCCUAGGACAACCGGUUCUCAGCCGGUGAACAGGGGUUCGACUCCCCUUGGGGGUA
rnacentral:tRNA from 1 species